rnacentral:rRNA from 1 species
UACGUAGGGUCCGAGCGUUGUCCGGAAUUAUUGGGCGUAAAGGGCUCGUAGGCGGUCUGUUGCGUCGGGAGUGAAAAUUCACAGCUUAACUGUGAACUUGCUUCCGAUACGGGCAGACUUGAGGUAUUCAGGGGAGAACGGAAUUCCUGGUGUAGCGGUGAAAUGCGCAGAUAUCAGGAGGAACACCGGUGGCGAAGGCGGUUCUCUGGGAAUAUCCUGACGCUGAGGAGCG